rnacentral:rRNA from 1 species
CCUACGGGCGGCAGCAGUCGAGAAUCAUUCACAAUGGGGGAAACCCUGAUGGUGCGACGCCGCGUGGGGGAAUGAAGGUCUUCGGAUUGUAAACCCCUGUCAUGUGGGAGCAACGGGCGUCACGUGUGGCGCCACUGAGAGUACCCGGAGAAAAAGCAUCGGCUAACUCCGUGCCAGCAGCCGCGGUAAUACGGAGGAUGCGAGCGUUAUCCGGAUUUAUUGGGUUUAAAGGGUGCGUAGGCGGAUCGUUAAGUCAGUGGUCAAAUUGAGGGGCUCAACCCCUUCCCGCCAUUGAAACUGGCGUUCUUGAGUGGAAGAGAAGUAUGCGGAAUGCGUGGUGUAGCGGUGAAAUGCAUAGAUAUCACGCAGAACCCCGAUUGCGAAGGCAGCAUGCCGGCUUCCGACUGACGCUGAAGCACGAAAGCGUGGGGAUCGAACAGGAUUAGAUACCCUUGUAGUC